AUAGGCGAACGGGUGAGUAACACGUGAGUAACCUGCCCUUGACUCUGGGAUAAGCCUGGGAAACUGGGUCUAAUACCGGAUAUGACCAUUCCACGCAUGUGGUGGUGGUGGAAAGCUUUUGCGGUUUUGGAUGGACUCGCGGCCUAUCAGCUUGUUGGUGGGGUAAUGGCCUACCAAGGCGACGACGGGUAGCCGGCCUGAGAGGGUGACCGGCCACACUGGGACUGAGACACGGCCCAGACUCCUACGGGAGGCAGCAGUGGGGAAUAUUGCACAAUGGGCGAAAGCCUGAUGCAGCGACGCCGCGUGAGGGAUGACGGCCUUCGGGUUGUAAACCUCUUUCAGUAGGGAAGAAGCCGCAAGGUGACGGUACCUGCAGAAGAAGCGCCGGCUAACUACGUGCCAGCAGCCGCGGUAAUACGUAGGGCGCAAGCGUUAUCCGGAAUUAUUGGGCGUAAAGAGCUCGUAGGCGGUUUGUCGCGUCUGCUGUGAAAGACCGGGGCUCAACUCCGGUUCUGCAGUGGGUACGGGCAGACUAGAGUGCAGUAGGGGAGACUGGAAUUCCUGGUGUAGCGGUGAAAUGCGCAGAUAUCAGGAGGAACACCGAUGGCGAAGGCAGGUCUCUGGGCUGUAACUGACGC
rnacentral:rRNA from 1 species